CCCCUCUCAGGAUCACACCUGGAGAGGUUCCAGUCCUCUACCAGUCUCGACUAUGGAAGCGAAAGUCAAGCAGAGGCCUGUCCAUUCCAUUCCUAGCUUGGGCAGUGGCUAGGGAGUGGAAGGCAAUCUGCUACUAGU